rnacentral:rRNA from 1 species
CGACCGGCGCACGGGUGCGUAACGCGUAUGCAACCUACCCAUUACAGGGGGAUAACAUCGAGAAAUUGGUACUAAUACCCCAUAACAUCACCGGAGGCAUCUUCGGUGGUUGAAAACUCAGGUGGUCAGAGAUGGACAUGCGUUGUAUUAGCUAGUUGGUGAGGUAACGGCUCACCAAGGCGACGAUACAUAGGGGGACUGAGAGGUCAACCCCCCACAUUGGUACUGAGACACGGACCAAACUCCUACGGGAGGCAGCAG